AGUCAUAUCCUCUACCAGUGACAAAUCUGAGUAACUAAUUAUCUUUAUGUCUUUCUUCCUCUAAAGUGACAAAGAAAGGAGAACAUGUCACCAUCAUGAGCCCUUUAUUUAGUUCACGGAAGAACAUCAAGGGAAAGACCCUCAGACGUGUCAUAACAGGAUAAAUGUGGCUACAGGACGCAUCACCCCACCCCAUCCCAGAUUGACCAAGGAUCCAGAUGAGUACUAGCAAUUUGGUGGAGGAUUGCUCUUUAUCUACUACAUUGUACUGUCACUUCCGAGGCUCUUAAGAAGACAACACAGAUCAACUGGCAAGGAACUGAGAGGGAACUCUCAAAAUAGUCCAGGACAAGAGAUGGAGGAGGAGAGUGUCUAGAUGCGCAAAUGACUGUCUGCAGUGUAAGCUGUACUGAUAAAUGUACUGUAUAGUUGCUGCUUCUUCUAACUGUCACCAAUUUAUAUCCUGUUCAAAUGUUCAGUAAAGACUGGGUCAAAUACAGGUUCAAAAUAUCUAUUUUAACAAAUAG